AACGAACGCUGGCGGCAUGCCUAACACAUGCAAGUCGAACGAGACCUUCGGGUCUAGUGGCGCACGGGUGCGUAACGCGUGGGAACCUGCCCUUAGGUUCGGAAUAACUCCCCGAAAGGGGUGCUAAUACCGGAUAAUGUCUUCGGACCAAAGAUUUAUCGCCUUUGGAUGGGCCCGCGUUGGAUUAGCUAGUUGGUAGGGUAAAAGCCUACCAAGGCGACGAUCCAUAGCUGGUCUGAGAGGAUGCUCAGCCACACUGGGACUGAGACACGGCCCAGACUCCUACGGGAGGCAGCAGUGGGGAAUAUUGGACAAUGGGCGAAAGCCUGAUCCAGCAAUGCCGCGUGAGUGAUGCAGGCCUUAGGGUUGUAAAGCUCUUUUACCCGGGAUGAUAAUGACAGUACCGGGAGAAUAAGCUCCGGCUAACUCCGUG
rnacentral:rRNA from 1 species